AGUAGGUGCUCUGCUCAGGGAACAGCUGUGAAACAGAUUACUCAACUGCAAUUACUGAUCAGCAGCACAUUUGAAGAUUUAGGAAAAAAAGUUAGAACCAAGCAGGCAAACAUACUAUUUAUUUAUUCAGUGAAUCAACACAGAGGCAAAACCUUGGAAAUCCUCAGGAAGAUGGUCACCACCAAUGAAACCAAUGAAGUCAAAUGGACAAUUUCACUCACAUCUUUCCAAAUGCACAAUUUUCAAAGAAUUGAAAGUUUCUUCUGCUGAGGUAAAUCCACAAAGUGUGAAAAGUUGCUUUCAACAGCUCAACUUCAGGCAGAAAAAAAAAUCUCUCUAGAAAACAUCCAACUCUUUUUCUCUGGUUCAAACAUGAGCCAAGUAGCAAGUAAAGAUGAUUUGUUCCCAUCCCUGUUACAUGAUGGAAAUGGAAAGUGAGCAGAAACCUUCAUACAGAGGACAAGAAGUCUUCACCAACUUUUGUCAAGAUGGCUACAUUUUCAGAGUUCAAAGUUUUAUAUUAAAAUAUAUAAUUAAAACUUCGAAAAUAUUAAGAUCAGAGUGUAAACAAAAUGUCUCCUUCUGUAGAAUAAAAAU